rnacentral:rRNA from 1 species
UGCAAGUCGAACGGUAACAGGCCCUUCGGGGUGCUGACGAGUGGCGAACGGGUGAGUAAUGCGUAGGAAUCUACCUAGAAGUGGGGGACAGCUUGGGGAAACUCAAGCUAAUACCGCAUAAUUCCUAAGGGGGAAAGCAGGGGACCUUCGGGCCUUGCGCUUUUAGAUGAGCCUACGUCGGAUUAGCUUGUUGGUAGGGUAAAAGCCUACCAAGGCAACGAUCCGUAGCUGUUCUGAGAGGAAGAUCAGCCACACUGGAACUGAGACACGGUCCAGACUCCUACGGGAGGCAGCAGUGGGGAAUAUUGGACAAUGGGCGCAAGCCUGAUCCAGCAAUGCCGCGUGUGUGAAGAAGGCCUGCGGGUUGUAAAGCACUUUUCAGUAGGGAGGAAGGAGUUAUGGUUAAUACCCAUAGCUAUUGACGUUACCUACAGAAGAAGCACCGGCUAACUCUGUGCCAGCAGCCGCGGUAAUACAGAGGGUGCAAGCGUUAAUCGGAAUUACUGGGCGUAAAGAGUGCGUAGGUGGUUGAAUCAGUCAGGUGUGAAAUCCCCGAGCUUAACUUGGGAACUGCGCUUGAUACUGUUUAACUAGAGUAUUAUAGAGGAAAGUGGAAUUUCCGGUGUAGCGGUGAAAUGCGUAGAUAUCGGAAGGAACACCAGUGGCGAAGGCGACUUUCUGGGUAAAUACUGACACUGAGGCACGAAAGCGUGGGGAGCAAACAGGAUUAGAUACC